CAGUAUAGUAUGUUAAAUAGGAAACCCCAAAUUAUGAGUUAGUCCAUGCAUGCCUAGUGUUUGAUAAAAUGCCUUAGCGAGUGAAAUGUGCCAAGAUAGCAUGAAAUCCUUAAGUAGGUGUAAAAUUGGUCGUGUCUAGUGGUUAUUGAAAGACCCUAGUGAACAAGUCGAGAUAUGAUGGUUGUAAAUUCCUCAAUUUUAUGCUCUUUGAUAUAUGCUAAGCCUUUAAUACAUGUCAAGUGGUUAGCAAGUAAAUAGUGAUGUGUUAGUAUGAGGUUUCCCACAAAUCAAGUGAUA
rnacentral:lncRNA from 1 species